GACGAACGCUGGCGGCGUGCUUAACACAUGCAAGUCGAACGCUGAAGCUUGGUGCUUGCACUGGGUGGAUGAGUGGCGAACGGGUGAGUAAUACGUGAGUAACCUGCCCUUGACUCUGGGAUAAGCCUGGGAAACUGGGUCUAAUACUGGGUAUGACAUGCCACUGCAUGGUGGUGUGUGGAAAGGGUUUUACUGGUUUUGGAUGGGCUCACGGCCUAUCAGCUUGUUGGUGGGGUAAUGGCCUACCAAGGCGACGACGGGUAGCCGGCCUGAGAGGGUGACCGGCCACACUGGGACUGAGACACGGCCCAGACUCCUACGGGAGGCAGCAGUGGGGAAUAUUGCACAAUGGGCGGAAGCCUGAUGCAGCGACGCCGCGUGAGGGAUGACGGCCUUCGGGUUGUAAACCUCUUUCAGCACGGAAGAAGCGAGAGUGACGGUACGUGCAGAAGAAGCGCCGGCUAACUACGUG
rnacentral:rRNA from 1 species